GACGAACGCUGGCGGCGUGCUUAACACAUGCAAGUCGAACGGGCCUGUCUUCUUUUUUGGGGGGUGGGUUGAGUGGCGAACGGGUGAGUAUCACGUGAGUAACCUGCCCUUCGGUCCUGGAUAACCGCUUGAAAGGGCGGCUAAUACGGGGUGGUCCGGUUGGUCCGCAUGGGCUGGUCGGGAUAGAUUCACUGUUUUUGGUGUUUCGGCGGGGGAUGGGCUCGCGGCCUAUCAGCUUGUUGGUGGGGUGAUGGCCUACCAAGGCGGUGACGGGUAGCCGGCCUGAGAGGGUGGGCGGCCACACUGGGACUGAGAUACGGCCCAGACUCCUGCGGGAGGCAGCAGUGGGGGGGAUUGCACAAUGGGCGGAAGCCUGAUGCAGCGACGUCGCGUGAGGGAUGGAGGCCUUCGGGUUGUGAACCUCUGUUUCCGGUGGUGAAGGCCCUGUCCGUGUGGUGGGGUUGACGGUAGCCGGGGAUGAAGCGCCGGCUAACUACGUG
rnacentral:rRNA from 1 species